ACAGCAGCCGCCGCGGGAAUACAGAGGAUGCAAGCGUUAUCCGGAAUGAUUGGGCGUAAAGCGUCUGUAGGUGGCCUUUUAAGCGUAGGGUAUAAGGCAAUGGCUCGACCAUUGUUCUCCCUAUGAACUGGAAGGCUUGAGUGCAGGAGAGGAAAGCGGAAUUCCUAGUGUAGCGGUGGAAUGCAUAGAUAUUAGGAGGAACAUCAGCGGCGAAGGCGGCUUUCUGGACUGCAACUGACACUGAGGUACGAAAGCGUGGGGAGCAAACGGGAUUAGAUACCCGAGUAGUCCCUGUCUCUUAUACA
rnacentral:rRNA from 1 species